CGGUCGCCUUUUCCUGCCUGUCUCCGAACCCGUCGGUGUCCGAUCAGCGGCAGGGAAAGGAGAGGGGCGGCAGCAGCAGUGCCUGGUGUGGAAACGUCCGCAUGGGGGGCGGAAAGGACACCACGGUUUGAUUGCACCGACGAGGACCCCCGUGCUGGGGCCGUCGCUGUCUCCAGGACAGACCGGGGCAGGACGAACCGGGCUCGGCGCACUGCAGAAAUGCAGGCGGCUGCGGUUGCCAGCUCUGGGCGCAAGGUCGUGGCACCGAGGCGGGGAUCGGUGGCGGCUGCCGACAAUCCCGGUAGCCUCAAGGAAUGUCCAUCCGAGUCGGAGACGGGAGCAGGGCUCAUGCCGCGCCUGGGAAGAGGCUGCCGAGCGCAGCGCAGCGCAGGCUGACCCAGAGCAGCAAAAGGGUGCCCGGGGCAGCGGGCUCUGAGCGCCGGAAUAAGUAAGAGGAUCCGGGGAAAAGAGCUGUGCAAUUUCAGCAGUGCAAAGCCCGGGCAUCCCGGCACAGGAAGAAGGCAAUUUAAGCCUGGAAAUUUGUGUUCGGCUGCAAACACUUCUGCCGAGCUUUGCAAUACCGUUUAAAACUGACCCAGGACCUAAAGCUUAUGCUUCAGAAGCUGUGCGGUUUUUUGGGUCAUCUCCAAAUGAGGAACACGAGUUUCAAAAUUAUCUCGUUAUUUUUUAAUAUUUUUUUCUAUGCUUUCAGAAGAUGAGAGCCAGGCUUCAGGGGUAUUUGUUGUAAUUGCAGGCCGAAAUUUUGUAUCGUGCCUCCUCUAAGGAUGGUUCUGUUUUCAAACGAAAUUCCAGAGUGUUCUGUAGUAAAAAGGGAAAAAAAAAACAGUAACAAAAGCUAAACAAAUUAUCUACUUUAACCUCCUUUUUAUAUAUUUUUUCCUUACAAACACAUUACUUUGAAAGAGAAAUGUGUUUAUUCUGAAAAGUUCCCCACAAUUAGUCUUUGCUUUGAACGCAAACUCCGGAUGCACUGGUCACUUAUCUGCGGAGAUAUCACCAACAACAUUAAACAGCAGGGAAAGAGGCAAAAAACCUCCCAAAUGUCGGAGUCACCUUCCAGAUUCUGGGAGGACGACGUUAAAGAAAAUAUUCACAUACCUGUCUGAGCUUUCCAAACCAUCACCGGGAGCUUGCCCCAGUCCUGUGCCCUCGGAAAUGCAAUUGCACCCCACUUUGCGUCUGACCCCAGCAGCUGCAAGUUAAAUCUAAAAAUACAGUGGUUCGGGCUUUUUUGUUUGUUGGCCUGUUUUUCAAUAAAUUGUAGGC
rnacentral:lncRNA from 1 species